rnacentral:rRNA from 1 species
AUGGACAGGGAGCCUUCGUCCCUGCUCGCCAAGGUGAGCUCUCGCCCAUACCCCAUCCUCCUAUUCUUCUUUUUCUUCUUCUCUGACCCCCGUCUCGUCUUCUCUGUUUUGUUGGUACAACGGCUAACGACGACAACGUCGACAGCCAAGGGAGGAAUUGGAGGGUCCCCUCCCCCUCUCUCAUCUUUGUUCCCUUCCCUCUUUCUUCUACUAGGCAGAUUCAGUUUUUUUUCUGCUCUUGUCUUGUGUGGUCUAAUCGUGCUCAUAUCCUUAAUUGAGUCAUUAGCAGAAUAUUUGUUUGCUUAUCACACAACAACUCAUCCAAGUGAGACCUCUCUGUUUAUUUCUUCUCUUCUCUUCAGAGGAGAGGAGAGGAGCCCAAAUGGAUUAAUGAAAGCAGAGGAAUUUAUUUCAAACCACAAGGUCCUUGAGUCAAAACAAAGCAAGAUUUACAGCUUCCCGGUAACAAAUAAAAUCCCGCAUCCACUGCAAAAAACUCUCUCUCUCUCUCUGUGUGUGUGUGUGUGUGUGUGUGUUCAGAUAUAA